CAGAAAGGUGGGGCUGCACAGACCUGCCUGGAGGAUGCCCGUUCUGGGACUUGUUUUGCUGCAGCUCCCCAGCCGCAUGUGAAGGAGGACUGGAAGUACGUGGCCAUGGUCAUCGACCGCAUCUUCCUCUGGAUGUUCAUCGUUGUCUGCCUGCUGGGAACCGUGGGCCUGUUCCUGCCACCCUGGCUGGCCGGCAUGAUCUAAGGAUGGAGCUGGUGUGGCCUGGGCAACUACAGGAUGCGGCAGGGUUGGGUUGCUUGUCCCCGCCCCCCAGCUCCACGGGGCCGUGCCACUGGCCAUUUGCCCACCAUCUUCCAAGUACCUGCUGUGAGCUAGCCUUGGAAAGAGACACUACCUCUGAGGGAGCUGGAGUUUGGGUGCUGGUUCUGGUCCUGCAGCGGCCAGGGGAGGGGCGGCUGGCUGGCAGGGCUGGCACGUGCUUGCUUCAUCCACAGGGCAGUGUCGUGGCUAAGCCCCAUCAAAGUUUCUCCAGAGCAGACCACUUGCUCUCCUGCCUGCAGACAGCACAUGCUCGCCUGAGCCUUGCAGAUGCCCGGUGAUUGCCCUGCCACAGGCAUGAAGCUUUGUCCCCUUUCUGCCCCUUUUCCUUGUUUCCCUGGGGUCCAGCAGCUGGAGCACCCCACCCAAGCCCCCAGAGAGAGCAGACCUCCAGUCUCCCCAGGCAGAGGCCGAGGUGGGUCUGCUUUGCUCAUCAGGCUGUUAGUUGUUGGAGCCUGGAGCAGGCGCCAUGUGGACAGCCCUGCUCAGAGGGCGCAGGUGCAGGCAGCCCCGGGGGGUCCAGGGCCCUGGGGCUCUGUGGUGAGCACCUCCCAGAGGCCUAGUGACCCCAGACCCCCAAAGGCACUGGUGUUUGGGUCCAGGCCCUCUGGGCUCUCUCUCUGAAACCUCCGCUGUUCAGAGCCCAGGAGCCCCUUGGGGUCUGGCAAGCGGCAGGCAGGAUUUCCUGUCGUUGUCACUGUCACUAUGGUUAGGCCAUGGUCCCCUUGGUGCAACCUGGGACCUUGGGUGGAGGGGCAGAAGGAGCCCGAGCUGCUGUCCGGGUUGGGGACCCCUGGGGCUUCUAGACAGGUCAGGGGCUGACUUGCCCUCCAGGGGCCUCAGACCAAGGAGGGGCCUUACCACCCACCUGGCUUGUCCAGAGUCAUGAGGGCUGAAGUGGUGGCCCCACAAGACAGCACCAGGCGGCCCUGGAGUGCUUUGUGAGAUAUGGGGUUAGCACAUGCUGCUCCUGCCUCUCAGGUCGCACGUGCCCGGGGUCCAGGGUGGGAGGAGUCUUCCUGUGCAGUGGCCCCAGCCCCUGGCCCCCCUGCUGACCCCAACUAGCCAGGGAGACCCUGCUCCCUCGGCCAUCUCAUCCCUGCCUGGAGCUGAGGUACUUGGGAGAACUGAGGGAGUAACUUCGUCAGUCUGGGGCUGAUGCACACCAAGCUCUGGUCAGUGCAGCAGCCGCCACCAAAGGUUGCUGGUCCCAGCUGGCCAGUGAUGCUGGGAUGGGGGAGCCACCGAGGGCUAAUGUCACCCAUACCCUCCCACCUCUGAACACCAGGCUGCUGGCCACCCACAGGGUCCCUGUGGAGAUGGGGUCCUGAGUCUGAGGCCCUGGGAGGUUCUUGUGCCCACAGUGGGAGGCAGAGGCCUAAGUGCUCCAUCCCGGGCAUCCCAGGCCUCUGUCUUCAGGGCACUGAGGGCCCCUCCUGCUGAGCAGGGUCUGCACUGGCGCCAGCCACUCCACCCUGCCCUCAGCAGAGUCCUCAGGUGGGUAAGUUCACGCAACUGGGGUUGGGGGGCAGGCCUUGGAGGAGGAUGGAUGAGGCAGAUUUCAAAUGUGAACUCCAAGAUCCAAGUUGCAUAAGCAGAUCCAGCUGCCAGAUGUGUGGGCAGCUGUGGCGCCCUGGACAGUGCAGCUGCAGAUGUUCUUUUCUGGGUCAGGAGACGUGAGGAGCCAGGACACUCCUGUCAGGCAGCCCUCCUGCUGCCGGGACUCCAGGAAAGGAAAUAAAGCACCUGUGUCCCCCACACGCAGCUUCCCAUAUUUGCCUGCAGCGUUGAUUCGGAAUUGAGCUUCCAAGUCUACUCCCCACUCAGCAACCUGAGCCAAGGAUUUCUGUUCAGCCCAGAAGAAGCCGAGCGCAUUAGGCAAGAAAGAGAAAUCAGACAGGAGCAGGUAUGGUAGUUAUUUGCAGGUAAUAUCACUGUAACUCUGGAAAAUUCAAGAAAAACCACCUGGAACUAAAGACAGCAUCACAAAUAAGACAACUGAAUAAGAAAGCUAGAAACGGGGCCAGGGAUUCCCUAAGCAGAAACAGAGACAGAAGCUGCAAGGAGAGGAAAAUACCUCGCCUCAAAUGCUGACAGAAGGCAUGGUAUUCAGAGGGGAAGGAGAGCCCAGUGCUGG
ensembl:lncRNA